rnacentral:lncRNA from 1 species
CGGCGAGCGGCGCUGCGGGACGGGCGACGGGCAGGAGGAGUCCUCAAGAUUCUCCCCUGUAGGGAACUCAACUCCCGAAGCCGGCCCAGCUCCUCCGUCAGCUCGGUGUAGGCCAGCGCCAAAUUCACCCUGAAGUCAGAGGGCAGUGGGAAAGACGAGAAGGGCAGUGGGUCUACCGUCCCAGCUGUGGAGGAAGAACUGGCUCUACCCCAGCAUCUGGCCCCACCAUGCUCCCUCCCACCCGCAGGGCCCUCCUACCCCAAUUGCAGAAAUCCUCCCUACCUUUAAGGUCCAGCUCAAAAGCCACCUCUUCCAGGGAGACUCCCUCUGCAUCCUGAGACCCAUUCCCUGGGCUAGGGCAGUGGUUCCCAGCCUAAGUGCAGGGACAGGGAGCAGAGAGAUUCCAAGGGCUCCCUGAAUCCCUGCAUCAGGCACUGUCCGUGGUCUGAACACAGCUCAUACAGGUAUGUGUGAAUGUUUUUCUAAUCUGUGCAAAAGCUGUGAUGAUGAAUUAAAGCACCGAUUCAUCAAAAAGCUGUACUGAAUUUAUAGUAGCUUCUGUCACUGUGAAUUUUCUCAAGCAAUGCAUACUAAAAGUGUUAUAAUCUGUGUACUGGGAGUGGGAUCCAUGAAGAGUCCUCACCUUUGAAAAGGUUGGGGACCCUGCUGCAUAGAAUAGCUCGUUCCAUAAGUGAAGAUGGUUUCCUGGCUGGUGGAGGUGCUAACUGAUAAACUUAACCCCAAGCCAGCCCAAUUCCAUGUCCACUGCACCUGGCUCGACCUCAAAGCUGCCUCUGGGCUCUUUUCAGCUUUGCCCCUCCCAGGACCUCCUUGCUGUACAACUCCACCAGGGCCUUAACACUGAGAUCUUUGUGAACAGCUGCUGUACACUGCACACUUGCAGUGAGUGCCAGUCACACCAGGCACUUCUCAAAGGCUGCCUUGUUCUAGAACUUUA